AGAACGAACGCUGGCGGCAUGCCUAAUACAUGCAAGUCGAACGAACUCUUCGGAGUUAGUGGCGCACGGGUGCGUAACGCGUGGGAAUCUGCCCCUUGGUUCGGAAUAACAGUUGGAAACGACUGCUAAUACCGGAUGAUGACGAAAGUCCAAAGAUUUAUCGCCGAAGGGAUGAGCCCGCGUAGGAUUAGCUAGUUGGUGAGGUAAAGCUCA
rnacentral:rRNA from 1 species